GACGUAGGGCGCGAGCGUUGUCCGGAUUUAUUGGGCGUAAAGAGCUCGUAGGCGGCUUGUUGCGUCGGCUGUGAAAUCCCGUGGCUUAACUGCGGGCUUGCAGCUGAUACGGGCGGGCUGGAGUUCGGUAGGGGAGACUGGAAUUCCUGGUGUAGCGGUGAAAUGCGCAGAUAUCAGGAGGAACACCGGUGGCGAAGGCGGGUCUCUGGGCCGAAAUUGACGCUGAGGAGCGAAAGCGUGGGGAGCAAACAGG
rnacentral:rRNA from 1 species